CUGGUGUCAGCCGCCGCGGUAAUACCAGCACCCCGAGUGGUCGGGACGAUUAUUGGGCCUAAAGCAUCCGUAGCCGGUCAUGCAAGUCUUCCGUUAAAUCCAGCCGCUCAACGGUUGGGCUGCGGAGGAUACUACGUGGCUAGGAGGCGGGAGAGGCAAGCGGUACUCAGUGGGUAGGGGUAAAAUCCUUUGAUCCAUUGAAGACCACCAGUGGCGAAGGCGGCUUGCCAGAACGCGCUCGACGGUGAGGGAUGAAGGCUGGGGGAGCAAACCGGAUUAGAUACCCGGGUAGUCCCAGCUGUAAACGAUGCAGACUCGGUGAUGGGAUGGCCUCGAGCUAUCCCAGUGCCGCAGGGAAGCCGUUAAGUCUGCCGCCUGGGGAGUACGGUCGCAAGACUGAAACUUAAAG
rnacentral:rRNA from 2 species